rnacentral:lncRNA from 1 species
AUGCUGGCUCGAGCUCUGCUCCAGACUUCGCUGGUUCUCUGGUUGGCUCAGCAAACUCUGCAAGGCGGGGUUAAACCUCAAAGUGUUUCCUGGGGGAGAGUGCUUCCAGCCAGAGGUGUGGGCACCGGUGGCGUGAAACCUGGAGUUACUGGUGCCCUUGGAGCACUGGGUAGCCGAUAUGGCAGCAAAGCAAUGAAGACUGGAAUUGGACGUUAUCCUGCAGCCCAGCUUGGUGUUGGAGGUUACAGAUCUCUUGGAUUAGGAGGAAGAGCAGGUCUGAAGCAAGGUGGAUAUGGAAACCAGGGAGCCUAUGGUGCCAGUCUGGGCCCAGGAAUGGGGCUGGGGGCUGGGCUCACAAACGGACUGGGACUGGGAUUGGGCCAGGGAGGAAAACGUGCUUAUGGUGCUGGCUUGGGAACACUUCCAGGAUAUGGAUCUUUAGGGGGCACUGGCUAUCCUGCAGCACGACCAGGUUAUGCUGGUGGAGCGGGAAACUACAUGGGAGCAAGCCUGGGCGCUUUGGGUUAUGGAGCAGGGUUGGGACAGGGAGCGUAUCUAGGUGGAGCAGCUGGAAAACUUGGAGCUGCUGCUGCACUCGGGCAGGGUGGUUAUCCCCAAGGUGUUGCAGGAAAGUCGACUGGUUAUGGUGAUGGAGCAACAGGAUAUCUUGGUGCUGUGGCAGGGAACGGCUUGGGUUAUGGGAAUGGUGACGGCUAUGGAGCUGCCCUCAGUCCUGGAGGCUAUGCUGGACAGGUCCAGGGGGGCUAUGGAGCACUUGGGGCAGGCCUGGAAUCAACUGGUGGCAAAUAUGGAGGAGGAGCUCCUCAGGCUCCUUAUGGUAACGCCCCAGUGCUUCCUGCUGGACUGGAAGGUGAUGGCGGCUAUCCGUAUGCUGCACAGCAGCUUGGUCUUGGUGUUGAAGGUGCUAAAUCUGCCAAAUAUGGCCCUGGUGCAGGAUAUGGAGCUCAACAAGCAGGGUUCGGUGCACAGCUAGGGCCAGCUCAAGAUGCUUUGGGAGAGCAGACUGGCAAAUAUGAUCGAGUGAAUGCUGCCCUGGGUAACGGAUACAAAGGCUAA